rnacentral:rRNA from 1 species
GCCUAAUUAAGGUGAAACCGCGAAUGGCUCAUUAAAUCAGUUAUGGUUCCUUAGAUCGUACCCACAUUUACUUGGAUAACUGUGGUAAUUCUAGAGCUAAUACAUGCAAACUAGAAUUCCGACCAGAGAUGGAAGGAAUGCUUUUAUUAGAUCAAAACCAAUCGGUGGUAUAUUUUUUAAAUAUAUCCAUCGUUAAUUUUGAUGACUCUGAAUAACUUUGUGCUGAUCGCAUGGUCUUGUACCGGCGACGAAUCUUUCAAAUGUCUGCCUUAUCAACUGUCGAUGGUAGGUUCUGCGCCUACCAUGGUUGUAACGGGUAACGGGGAAUCAGGGUUCGAUUCCGGAGAGGGAGCCUGAGAAACGGCUACCACAUCCAAGGAAGGCAGCAGGCGCGCAAAUUACCCACUCCCGGCACGGGGAGGUAGUGACGAAAAAUAACGAUACGGGACUCAUCCGAGGCCCCGUAAUCGGAAUGAGUACACUUUAAAUCCUUUAACGAGGAUCCAUUGGAGGGCAAGUCUGGUGCCAGCAGCCGCGGUAAUUCCAGCUCCAAUAGCGUAUAUUAAAGUUGUUGCGGUUAAAAAGCUCGUAGUUGAAUUUGUGUGCCACGCUGUCGGUUCAUCGCUCGCGAUGUUUAACUGGCAUGAUUGUGGGACGUCCUGCCGGUGGAUUUAGCUUUAUAUAUUUUCGAAUAUAUUUAGCGAUCCAGUUUAUAUCCCGUCGCGGUGCUCUUUAUUGAGUGUCGAGGUGGGCCGGUACGUUUACUUUGAACAAAUUAGAGUGCUUAAAGCAGGCUUUUUUUGCCUGAAUACUGUGUGCAUGGAAUAAUAGAAUAGGACCUCGGUUCUAUUUUGUUGGUUUUCGGAACCCCGAGGUA